GAUGAACGCUGGCGGCGUGCCUAAUACAUGCAAGUCGAGCGAACAGACGAGGAGCUUGCUCCUCUGACGUUAGCGGCGGACGGGUGAGUAACACGUGGAUAACCUACCUAUAAGACUGGGAUAACUUCGGGAAACCGGAGCUAAUACCGGAUAAUAUAUUGAACCGCAUGGUUCAAUAGUGAAAGACGGUUUUGCUGUCACUUAUAGAUGGAUCCGCGCCGCAUUAGCUAGUUGGUAAGGUAACGGCUUACCAAGGCAACGAUGCGUAGCCGACCUGAGAGGGUGAUCAGCCACACUGGAACUGAGACACGGUCCAGACUCCUACGGGAGGCAGCAGUAGGGAAUCUUCCGCAAUGGGCGAAAGCCUGACGGAGCAACGCCGCGUGAGUGAUGAAGGUCUUCGGAUCGUAAAACUCUGUUAUUAGGGAAGAACAGAUGUGUAAGUAACUAUGCACGUCUUGACGGUACCUAAUCAGAAAGCCACGGCUAACUACGUG
rnacentral:rRNA from 1 species